rnacentral:rRNA from 1 species
CCGUAAACGAUAGACACUGCGAUGAAUAUCUAUCAGGGAUAUGUGUGCAAAGAGAAAGCAUUAAAGUGACCCACCUGGGGAGUAAACUACAAAGAGUGAAACUCAAAGGGAAUUGGCGGGGGUACGCACAAGAGUUGGAGCAUGUGGUUUAAUUAGAUGAUUCGAGAGGAACCUAGCCUGGGCUCGAAUGUAAUGUGACUAUUCAAGGAACUGAAUUUUCUGUAAGGACAGAGUACAAGGUGUUGCAUGACCGUCGUCAACUCAUGCCGUGAGGUGUUGGGUUAAGUCCUAUAACGAGCGCAACCCCUAUACUUAGUUGCCAGCACGUAAUGGUGGGGACUCUAGGUAGACUGCCUGAGUAAGCAGUGAGGAAGGUGGGGACGAGGUCAGGUCAUACAUGGCCCUUACGGCCAGGGCGACACACGUGCAACAAUGGCGUAUACAAAGAGCUGCUACCUGGUAACAGGAUGAUGAUCUCUAAAAUACGUCUCAGUUCGGAUUGAGGUCUGCAACUCGACGUCAUGAAGUUGGAAUCGAUAGUAAUCGUGCAUCAGCCAUGGCGCGGUGAAUACGUUCCCGGACCUUGUACACACCGCCCGUCAAGCCAUGGAAAUCGGGAGGACCUGAAGAUGGUGACCGUUAAAGGAACUAUUUAAGGUUAUACUGGUAACUGGGGCUAAGUCGUAACAAGGUAGCCGU